rnacentral:ncRNA from 3 species
CCCCGUAGAAUUGAACCGACACCCGGCCGGGCGGCCGGGUGGUGACCCGAGGAGC